rnacentral:rRNA from 1 species
CCUACGGGAGGCAGCAGUGGGGAAUAUUGCACAAUGGGCGAAAGCCUGAUGCAGCAACGCCGCGUGAGCGAUGAAGGCCUUCGGGUCGUAAAGCUCUGUCCUCCAGGAAGAUAAUGACGGUACUUGAGGAGGACGCCCCGGCUAACUACGUGCCAGCAGCCGCGGUACUACGUAGGGGGCUAGCGUUAUCCGGAUUUACUGGGCGUAAUGGGUGCGUAGGGGGUUUCUUAAGUCAGAGGUGAAAGGCUACGGCUCAACCGUAGCGAGCCUUUGAAACUGGGGAUCUUGAGUGCAGGAGAGGAAAGUGGAAUGCGGAGUGUAGCGGUGAAAUGCGUAGAUAUUAGGAAGAACACCAGUUGCGAAGGCAGCAUUCUGGACGGUAACGGACACUGAGGCACGAAAGCGUGGGGAGCAAACAGGAUUAGAUACCCUGGUAGUC